UGGGGAAUCUUGGACAAUGGGGGCAACCCUGAUCCAGCGAUGCCGCGUGAGCGAAGAAGGCCUUAGGGUUGUAAAGCUCUUUCGCCCGCGACGAUGAUGACGGUAGCGGGAGAAGGAGCCCCGGCUAACUCCGUGCCAGCAGCCGCGGUAAUACGGAGGGGGCUAGCGUUGUCCGGAAUUACUGGGCGUAAAGCGCGCGUAGGCGGUCCACCAAGUCGGGGGUGAAAGCCCGGGGCUCAACCCCGGAAUGUCCUCCGAGACUGUUGGACUGGAGUUCGGGAGAGGAGAGCGGAAUUCCCAGUGUAGAGGUGAAAUUCGUAGAUAUUGGGAAGAACACCGGUGGCGAAGGCGGCUCUCUGGCCCGCAACUGACGCUGAGGCGCGAAAGCGUGGGGAGCAAACA
rnacentral:rRNA from 1 species